rnacentral:misc_RNA from 1 species
UUUCCGUAGGUGAACCUGCGGAAGGAUCAUUACCAAAUCCAAAAAAAAACUUUCUAUCAACACCCCAAUGUGAACUGAGAAUGGUUUCGUCCCUCCGAAUUCUUCUCUUCUUCGGAAGAAAGGGAGGAGGAGGGAUGUUCAAACACAUUUUUUUUUCAACCCCUUUUCAACCAUUAAAAACCCCAUUUUUUUAAUGCUGAAAGCAAAACAAAAAAUACGAAACAUGAGACAACUUUUAACGGUGGAUCUCUUGGCUCGU